UACGUAGGAUCCAAGCGUUGUCCGGAUUUACUGGGUGUAAAGGGUGCGCAGGCGGACUUGUAAGUCAGGGGUGAAAUCUCACAGCUUAACUGUGAAACUGCCUUUGAUACUUCCAAUCUUGAGUUAAAGAGAGGUUGAUGGAAUUUCCGGUGUAGCGGUGAAAUGCGUAGAUAUCUGGAGGAAUACCGGUGGCGAAGGCGGCAUCCUGGACCGAGAUUGACACUGAUGAGCGAAAGCCAGGGGAGCAAACGGG
rnacentral:rRNA from 1 species